ACAGCUCAAAUUUGAAAGCUGGCCCCCCCCGGGGGUCCGCGUUGUAAUUUGUAGAGGAUGAUUCGGCGAGGGCUCCCGCCUAAGUCCCCUGGAACGGGGCGUCAUAGAGGGUGAGAAUCCCGUAUGCGGUGGGCUGCCUUAGCCAUGUGAAUCUCCUUCGACGAGUCGAGUUGUUUGGGAAUGCAGCUCUAAAUGGGAGGUAAAUUUCUUCUAAAGCUAAAUACCGGCCAGAGACCGAUAGCGCACAAGUAGAGUGAUCGAAAGAUGAAAAGCACUUUGGAAAGAGAGUUAAAAAGUACGUGAAAUUGUUGAAAGGGAAGCGCUUGCAGCCAGACUUGCCCGCAGUUGCUCAGCCGGUCUCCUGACCGGCGCACUCUUCUGCGGCCAGGCCAGCAUCAGUUCGGGCGGUCGGAUAAAGGCCCCGGGAACGUAGCUCCUCUCGGGGAGUGUUAUAGCCCGGGGUGGAAUGCGGCCAGCCUGGACUGAGG
rnacentral:rRNA from 1 species